rnacentral:rRNA from 1 species
GACGAACGCUGGCGGCGUGCUUAACACAUGCAAGUCGAACGGGGCGCUUAUGAUGGAGAUUUCGGUCAACGGAUUAAGUUGCCUAGUGGCGGACGGGUGAGUAACGCGUGAGUAACCUGCCUUUCAGAGGGGGACAACAGUUGGAAACGACUGCUAAUACCGCAUAAUAUAUAUGGACCGCAUGAUCUGUAUAUCAAAGAUUUAUCGCUGAAAGAUGGACUCGCGUCUGAUUAGCUAGUUGGUGAGGUAACGGCCCACCAAGGCGACGAUCAGUAGCCGGACUGAGAGGUUGAACGGCCACAUUGGGACUGAGAUACGGCCCAGACUCCUACGGGAGGCAGCAGUGGGGAAUAUUGGGCAAUGGGCGCAAGCCUGACCCAGCAACGCCGCGUGAAGGGAGAAGGCUUUCGGGUUGUAAACUUCUUUUGUCAGGGAAGAUGAACAGACUGUACCUAACGAAUAAGCCACGGCUAACUACGUGCCAGCCGCCGCCGUAA